rnacentral:rRNA from 1 species
GUCGAGCGAAUGGAUUAAGAGCUUGCUCUUAUGAAGUUAGCGGCGGACGGGUGAGUAACACGUGGGUAACCUGCCCAUAAGACUGGGAUAACUCCGGGAAACCGGGGCUAAUACCGGAUAACAUUUUGAACCGCAUGGUUCGAAAUUGAAAGGCGGCUUCGGCUGUCACUUAUGGAUGGACCCGCGUCGCAUUAGCUAGUUGGUGAGGUAACGGCUCACCAAGGCAACGAUGCGUAGCCGACCUGAGAGGGUGAUCGGCCACACUGGGACUGAGACACGGCCCAGACUCCUACGGGAGGCAGCAGUAGGGAAUCUUCCGCAAUGGACGAAAGUCUGACGGAGCAACGCCGCGUGAGUGAUGAAGGCUUUCGGGUCGUAAAACUCUGUUGUUAGGGAAGAACAAGUGCUAGUUGAAUAAGCUGGCACCUUGACGGUACCUAACCAGAAAGCCACGGCUAACUACGUGCCAGCAGCCGCGGUAAUACGUAGGUGGCAAGCGUUAUCCGGAAUUAUUGGGCGUAAAGCGCGCGCAGGUGGUUUCUUAAGUCUGAUGUGAAAGCCCACGGCUCAACCGUGGAGGGUCAUUGGAAACUGGGAGACUUGAGUGCAGAAGAGGAAAGUGGAAUUCCAUGUGUAGCGGUGAAAUGCGUAGAGAUAUGGAGGAACACCAGUGGCGAAGGCGACUUUCUGGUCUGUAACU